GCCGAAGUGGUGGAACUUGGUAGACACACCAUCUUGAGGGGGUGGCGGGCGAGAGCUCGUGCCGGUUCGAGUCCGGCCUUCGGCACCA
rnacentral:tRNA from 1 species